rnacentral:lncRNA from 1 species
GACUUCUUUAUAAUCUACGAGAAUGUUCUAUUGAGGUCCAUUUCUUUAAUCCAUUUCCCUUUUCUUCAUCUUGAUUUUAAAUUGGUUGUGAUUAUGUGUGGUGUGAUUAUGGUUGUUGGAUUUUGGUUGAUAUUAUGAUUUAUGUGCUUGAUGAUACUAUGUUGGCAAUAUUUGAAACAAAAUUUGAAUAAUUUGGAUGGCAUGAUUGAUAAAAUUGAAGUUGGGACGGGAAUCGAAAAACUGAUUAAAGUG